rnacentral:rRNA from 1 species
CAUGCUUUACACAUGCAAGUCGAACGGCAGCGAAGAGAAGCUUGCUUCUCUGUCGGCGAGUGGCGAACGGGUGAGUAUAGCAUCGGAACGUGCCAAGUAGUGGGGGAUAACCAAGCGAAAGUUUGGCUAAUACCGCAUAAGCUCUAAGGAGGAAAGUAGGGGACCGUAAGGCCUUACGCUAUUUGAUCGGCCGAUGUCGGAUUAGCUAGUUGGUGAGGUAAUGGCUCACCAAGGCGAUGAUCCGUAGCGGGUCUGAGAGGACGAUCCGCCACACUGGGACUGAGACACGGCCCAGACUCCUACGGGAGGCAGCAGUGGGGAAUUUUGGACAAUGGGGGGAACCCUGAUCCAGCCAUGCCGCGUGUAUGAAGAAGGCCUUAGGGUUGUAAAGUACUUUUGUUAGGGAAGAAAAGCUAGUUUUUAAUAAAGACUAGUGAUGACGGUACCUAAAGAAUAAGCACCGGCUAACUACGUGCCAGCAGCCGCGGUAAUACGUAGGGUGCGAGCGUUAAUCGGAAUUAUUGGGCGUAAAGCGAGUGCAGACGGUUGUUUAAGCCAGAUGUGAAAUCCCCGAGCUUAACUUGGGACGUGCAUUUGGAACUGGAUAACUAGAGUGUGUCAGAGGGAGGUAGAAUUCCACAUGUAGCGGUGGAAUGCGUAGAGAUGUGGAGGAAUACCGAUGGCGAAGGCAGCCUCCUGGGAUAACACUGACGUUGAGGCUCGAAAGCGUGGGGAGCAA